rnacentral:lncRNA from 1 species
CUACAUACCUGCAUUGAAAAGUUAGCAAAAAUUAUAUCAUGCGGCUUUUGGAAGUAAAAAAUAUAUUUAUGCAUGUCUCUUCUUAUCAAACAGGUUGGACACUCAAGAUGGGUUAAAAAACAGACAAACAAGAACAACGCUUUCAGACGCAACGGUGGGUUGGGGUUUUAGGGUUGGUUGUUCCAAAAUUAAAGUGGUGUUUGAGGGGCAUUUUUUUUUAUAUUUUGAAGAAGGGCUCUGGCAAAUAUUCACAAGUUCCUACUUGCGUCUCCGGAUUCCGGUCUGAUGUACCGACUGAACCCCACUCUUCGAGGCCCUGUCCAUAGCGUACUCUAGUCGGAAGACAGCUUAAACUGUUAUUUGUAUAUAAACUUUCUCAGACACCCAGGUAACUAAGAUACACAAAUUAACAUCUUCCUUUCUUAGAUUGAACCUACAGCUCACGAAGGUAAAUAUUUCAAUACAACAUAAUCAAUGCGUCUACUACGUUUCGAUUACUUAAUAUAAACAUUAUCAGAUGCUACCAUGAAAAUAUUUGAUAAAUAAUAAUAUAUAAAUAACGAUUUUUUAAUACCUGAAAAUCAAUUGAACGUAUCCAACGAAAAAAUAAUGCUUGUUUUACGAAACCCAGCAAAAUGAAGGGCAACGUUCUGAAUUCAGUAGAAGUUGUACCCAGGACGCUGCAAGAUGAGACAAAAUUGAAUACGAUACAACUCCUGGAUGAUCUGGGGCACACACUAAAUAAUGUGACCUGGGGGUCAUCAAGUGUUUCAGCGUUUUCAACAUUAGACACUCCUACCCUGUAAAACAACUGAUACAGUUGUGUCUGCGGAGAGUCAUUUUCUUUUUGUGCCUUAUAAUGUAACACACUCAUCGGUAAAAUUUCCACUUAUUUCUUAAUUUUUAUUUUCCUAAAAUUUUCGUUGAGUCAAGACUAUUGAAAAGGUUGCAAGACGCAACGAAAAUUUUAGGAAAAUAAAAAUAAGAAAUAAGUGGAAAUUUUACUGGUGAGUGUGUUACAUUAUAAGGCACAAAAAGAAAAUGACUCUCCCCAGACACAACAGAAUAUGCUUCAGCACACAAACUCAUAUAAAGAAUCUUGCAAACCAAAUCCCAAAACGAAACUGAUACAGUGUUCAUUUUCUUUUAUAUUAUUUGCUAACGCAGCAUUAAAAUUGACGAGUCUCCAUAUAGACUUCCGAUAUACUAUAAGUAGCCAUCAAAUCUCGCUUAAUUCAAUCUCUCGUGUUUUUAAUGAAAGUACACAAUACAUAACAGAAUCUUAUUUCAUCUAAAAAAACCAAGAUAGCGUGAAAUAUAUUUGGUUAUAGCUCAGUUUCCUCAUGAUCAAACUGGAGCUAUAAACAACAGCAUUUUUAAUACUCUUUGAAUCACUUGUACCAGAGUCACAAGGUCAGAAAUCUGUGCGGAAACUGUAAUUGUCGAUUAAAUUAACGCAAGUGCUUGGUAGACUUUGAUCCAACUCAAAAGGAUGAUCGGCAGAAUUUGAACACUGAACAUAUGGAACCGAUCCAGAUGCAUCGAUGUAUAUAUUAUUUUGCAUCAAAGGUGCAGGAGUGGCUGUGUGGUAAGUAGCUUGCUUACCAACCACAUGGUUCCGGGUUCAGUCCCACUGCGUGGCAUCUUGGGCAAGUGUCUUCUGCUAUAGCCUCGGGCCGACCAAUGCCUUGUGAGUGGAUUUGGUAGACGGAAACUGAAAGAAGCCUGUCGUAUAUAUAUAUAUAUAUAUAUAUAUAUAUAUAUAUAUAUGUGUGUGUGUGUGUGUGUGUGUGUGUGUGUGUGUGUGUGUGUCUGUGUUUGUCCCCCUAGCGUUGCUUGACAACCGAUGCUGGUGUGUUUACGUCCCCGUUACUUUAGCGGCUCGGCAAAAGAGACCGAUAGAAUAAGUACUGGGCUUACAAAGAAUAAGUCCCGGGGUCGAUUUGCUCGACUAAAGGCAGUGCUCCAGCAUGGCCGCAGUCAAAUGACUGAAACAAAUAAAAGAGUAAAAAUGAGUAAUGUAUAUUAUAUUAUGAUCUAAAGAUGCUACAAAUUUAGCGCCUUUAAUUCAAUUUACUAAAGUCUGAUUCAGUUAAUUAUUGUUAAAUUCAGUCCUUUAGGUUUUGAUUUUAUAUAAGCUUUCAUAAAUAUGAAAGCACUACACACCCUCGCUGAAACACACGCAUACACAUACGCGCGCGUGUACGUGUAUUUGGAUUUUCUUUCAGAUUGCAUUUUGAAGAGUUGAGAAAGUUGAAAAUGCAUCUUUUGCGAAAUAAAUGCAAGUGUAAAAUACGAAUGCUGCUACAAAAUAAUUGCAUCAUAUUUUGACUCGAGGGCAGCAGUUUUAUUAACUAGUAGACUGAUCCAGUAGUACACAAGUAUUUCAAUUUAUCGAUCCCGGAUGUAUGAAAGGCAAAAUUGACCUCGGCGUAAUUUAAACUUGAAACGUUAAGAGCCAGAAGCAAUGCCAAUGAGUAUUUUAUCUGACGCACUAACGAAUCUGUCAGCUCGCCGAUUUACGUAGGGAUAAAUAAUCCUUUUUGAAAUAGGCACAAGGUCUGACAUUUUGUGAGGAUGGGCAGUCUAUUACAUCGACCCCAGUUUUUGACUGGUAUUUAUUCAAUCUAAUCCAAAAAGAUGAAAGGUAAAGACGGCCUUAGCAAAAUUUGAACCCACAACACAUAAACGGCCGAAAUACCGCUAUGCAUUUUAUCCGGCUCUGUAACAAUACUGCCCUAGAGCUGCCUUAAUUAACGAUAAAUAAUACAUUUUACUAAAGGCACAAGGCCUGAGAUAUUUUGAGGAGGGUACUAGUCGAUUACAUCGACCCCAGUACUCCACUGUUACUUAAUUUAUCGACCCCGAAACGAUGAAAGGCAAAGUCGACCGCGGCAGAAUUUGAACUCAGAACACAAAAACAGCCGAAUUGCCUUAAAGCAUUUUGUCUUUGUCCUGCGCUGUAACGACACUGCCAGUUAGUUGCCUGAUGUAACUAUAAAUAAUACCAUAUAAUAUAUGAGGUACAAAAAAUCUGCUGGCGUUGAAGAUUUUAUAUAAAUAUUUACAUUCCACAGAUGAGCGAAUAAUUACUGCUAUUUUUUAAAAACAUGUAUGUAUGCACGCACGCACACACACACACACACACACACAUACACAUACACACACACUCACACAUGUACGCAUAUAUAUAUAUAUAUUUAUUUUAUAGAAGGAGCUUCUACAGGACUAGAACUGUUUCAUUCAAAUGAAAUCAUCAGAAAGCUUCCUGAUGAUUUCAUUUGAAUGAAACAGUUCUAGUCCUGUAGAAGCUCCUUCUAUAAAAUAAAUUAAUUUACUCUGCUAUGUAUUGAGUACCUUAUAUACUGUGGUUAACCCCGAAUCAACCCGGGACCUACAUAUAUCUAUAUAUAUAUAUAUAUUUAUAUAUAUAUAUAUAUGUGCGUAUAAAUGCAAAUAUAUACAUACAUAUAUAUAUAUGUGCGUAUAUCUAUCUCUCUAUCUAUAUAUCUCUGUCUCUCAGUCUCUGCCUCUCUUUCUCUUUCUUUCUCUCUGUACACACACACAUACAUAUAUAUAUAUAUAUAUAUAUAUAUAUAUAUAUAUAUAUAUAUUUGUAUAUGCAAACAUGUGCAUUGCAGAAAAAAAAAAAAACGAUUGUGCUUAUUCUAUAAUCCGUAACUCCACUCCAUUUACCUGGUUAAUAAUCAGAAAGGGUAUUUCACAUCCCAUAAAAUCUGUCGUUUGUAUGUGUAAGAAAUGAAUAAUAUCCAACAGUUGCCUAGAAAUCUGCAUAAACAUGUUCAUGAAUUUACAUAUCGAGAAAUCAUGUUGGUUGUAUGUUGAUUCACAGAUGCAUAAAGAAGAAAUUUAUACAGAUGUUGCACUACGUGUAUCUAAUACCUCUGUUACUGCAUAAAGUUUACAAACUUUCUCAGGAACUGUUUGGAUCCUGGCAUUUGUGUUUAGCUAUAAAAUUCAAUGAAAUGUUUUACGGUUUAUUUUAUUGUAUUCACUUUUUCGAUGUAUGUAUUGUUGUAUACGCACGAAAUUGUCACUCGUUCUCAACCAAUAAUUUACCUGUAAUACACGUGUUUUGUUUGUAAAAUACCGUAAAAAUUGUCAAGUAAAUUGGUUUCAUUCUUAAAUAUACACACAUAUACAUGUAUGUAGUCUCGCAGCUCUCUCUCCCCCCUCUCUCUCUCUUUCUCUCUCUCUCUCUCUCACUCACUCACUCACUCACUUUCCGUCUCCCUCUUCGUACAUGUGUCUGUAUGUUUGUGUAUAUAUAUACGCAUGAAUACAUGCAUACAGGCAUGUAUAAUAUAUUUACAUAUGUGUGUAUAUAUAUAUGCUUUUUUUUUUCAAUAUGUGACCUCGUGAGUACCGCCAGCGAUUUUUUUCCUCUGUCUUCCCUCCUCGGGAUCUUUCCUUCUCCUAUGUUUCCGACGAAGAGCUCUGCUCGAAACGUUAAACCCUCCGUCUUCCCUUCUUUCCUGAGCGUCCAAUAAUACUUUAUUUGUUCCACGUGCUCGCGUUGCUGUGUUUUUUUGUGUUUUCUUGUUUGGAUUAAUAUAUAUAUAUAUAUAUAUAUAUAUAUAUAUAUAUAUAUAUAUAUAUAUAUACAUAUAUAUAUAUAUACAGCUAGCUGGCUAGAUAGAUAGAUCGAUAAAUAGGUAAGUAGGUAGGGAGGGGAAGGUCGGUAGGUCGGUAGAUAGGUAGGCAGACGUGCAGGUAGACAGACAGACAGACAUACAGACAGACAGAUAGAAUAUACCCAUUGACACACGAACACACAUAUCUAUACGAUUGGCGCAGGUUGAACUUUCCGAACAGCUGAUGUCAGUUACAUGCGGAGCUACAUAUAUCAAUGAGUUAGCAAAAGAAAUAAAAAGAAGAUAAAAGAAAAUUACUUGUCGAGGAAAUUCAAUACAUUAUGAGAUUGCUGAUGUAUGAAUGAAGGUAUUGCGAAUUUCUCAUAUGAUGCGUGUGUGUGUUUGUCUUAUCUAUCUAUCUAUCUAUCUAUCUAUCUAUCUAUCUAUCUAUCUAUCUAUCUAUCUAUUUUUUUUUCUCUUCCCCUUUUUUCCUCUUUUUUCCUUUUUCUUUUCUUUUGUUUCUUUUCUUCUCCUUUUUUUUCUUUUUUUCUUUUUUCCCUUUCAUGAUCCCUCUUGAUCGAAAACCUACGCCACUUUUUUUUUGUUUCUCUUGUUUUUUGUUUUUUUGUUUUUUUUUCAUCCCCCAAAAGAAAAGCUCUACCUUGUAAUUUGUCCCAUCUGUGUGCAGCCCUGUGUGGCCAAUAAAGAAACUUAUCUAUCUAUCUAUGUAUUUAUGUGUCUACUUUUCUAAUACUCGCAUAUAUAUAUGUUUUUAUCUAUAUAUAUAUAUAUAUAUAUAUAUAUAUAUAUAUAUAUAUAUAUAUAUAUAUAUAUAUAUAUAUAUAUAUUCUCCUAUGUUUCCGACGAAGAGCUCCACUAGAAACGUUAAACCCUCCUUCUUUCCUUCUUUCCUGAGCGUCCAAUAAUACUAUAUUUGUUCCACGUCCUCGUGUUGUGGUUUUUUUGUGCUUUCUUGUUUGGAUUAACUUUAUAUAUAUAUUUAUGUAUACAUACAUACAUACACAUACACACGCACGCACAUACACACACACACACACACACACACACACACACACACACACACACACAUAUAUAUAUAUAUAUAUAUUUAUAUAUAUAUACACACACACACAAAAGGAUAAUUAUAUCAAAAGGGUGUCUGUGGAAAAAUUCAUUUAAAUAAAAGGGUUGGGAAUCAGCUUUGAGAACCACUGUGGAAAUUUUGGUAACCCGUGCCUUAAUUUUAUCAACCUUAGGAGGUACCUUUUGUACCAGUAGUGGCGUGCAUUCUGCUCCAAGAAUUUGAACCGAACAACACCAUCGUAGGGUAUGGGCACAUACCUAUCAAAUCUUAUCAAUGUAUGUUAUGGCUUGCAAUGAAGAAAUAUACGCAAUGUACUUCCCGGCGCAAUGAUUUACCCUGGGUCCUAUAAUUCUACUAAGAAAACCCUGGAGCUGGGUUCCCGAACUGUAGAUACCUUUUUUCACUGUCUUCCAUUACAUACUUUGCGGAUGCCUCUGAAGGGCGUGACGAGCACAACCUUCCUUUCUGUGAAAAAAAAUUUAACUGUCUUCCACAGACUCAUCGUAAUGCGUGUGCUACUCUCUCUCUGAUUUGCAUUCCACCGCUGAUAUCGUUUUCUAUUCUUGGUAAGACCUGGUUCACUCGCCCUAUUGUGGACAGUCAUCCCGAUAUGAGCAUAGGGUAUUUUAUUUUCUCACACACAGAAGGCACAGACUUGAUUUUGUGGUUAAAGCAAUUUCGCUUCGUGACAAUGUUAUCUCCUUUAGUUUCCGAUUUGACUCCGAAACAGCUAACACAUUGUGAGUGAAUUUAGUAAAUUGAAAUUUGGGCAGAAGAAUCCUUUUUGUAUGUGUCAGCGUCGAAGUCGAAGGUUUUGUAACUGACGGGGACAGUAAUUGAAUAUCACCUAAAAAAUAAAACUGGAUCCCAUUAAAUAGGUAAACUAUUGCAUAAUCAAAUUCCUGUAUAUAGAAAGAACUAUGCUGUGUGGAAACGUGUAGUGAUUAAAAAGUAACUGCCUAACCGUACUCCUUGUUGACUCUAUCUUAUUCAUAUAUAUGUAUGUAUGUAUAUAUGGUUUCUGUCGUAUAUAUAUAUAUAUAUAUAUAUAUAUAUAUAUAUAUAUAUAUAUAUAUAUAUAUAUAUACAAACGUCUAUUCUCGUGCAUGUGUGUAUACGUGCAUCUAUCUAUCUAUCUAUCUAUCUAUCUAUCUAUCUAUCUAUCUAUCUAUCUAUCUAUCUAUCUAUCUAUCUGUCUGUCUAUCUGUCUCUAUCUAUCUAUCUAUCUAUCUAUCUAUCUAUCUAUCUAUCUAUCUAUCUAUCUAUCUACCUAUCUAUCUGUCUGUCUGUCUGUCUCUAUCUAUCUAUCUAUCUAUCUAUCUAUCUAUCUAUCUAUCUAUUUUUCUAUCUGUCUGUCUGUCUGUCUAUUUGUCUCUAUCUAUCUAUCUAUCUAUCUAUCUAUCUAUCUAUCCAUCUAGCUGUCUGUAUGUCUGUCUCUCUCUAUAUAUAUAUCUAUCUAUCUACCUGUGGCUAUAUGUAUGGGUGUGAAGCCCUUUACGUUUAUGCUUCUCUCCACUUCACAACUGAUGUUUAUACCUUUACGUCCUUGAAACUUAGCAGUUCAGCAAAGAGAGUUCGAUAGAAUAGGUUCUAACCUAAAAUCAAAUAAGAAUAAGAAGGGCGAUUUGAUCCGUUAAUUCCUUCACAGGAAACUUAAUACCUGCGAAACUUAAUACCUAAAGCGAGUAAAUCAGUACAUCCGUCACUAGAAUUUCCUACAAAUCUUUCCUUCAGUCAGUAAGGUGUGACUUUAUUAAAUUUCGACUGCUAUUUCUAGCUGAUCGAGCGACCACUAAGAGACCUUCCUCUUUGAACUAUCAUCAAGAUAAAACGCACGCAUAUAUGUGCACAGGUGUGCGCGUGUAUGUGUAUGUGUGUGUGUACGUGUGUAACGUACAUAAUGUAUGUCUGUGUGUGUGUCUGUGUGUGUGUAUGUCUAUAAUGAAUGUAUCCUAUGUCACCACCUGUAUAUAUACAUAUAUGUAUCUAUAUGUAUCUAUAUGUAUAUAUAGGUAUCGUGUAUGUGAGAA